AAUUGCAUACAAAAAGUAACAUAUUAAGGAAUAUAUUGUUAGCCAAGUGUGCAUAUAUUGGGGAGGGAGGGACAUACAAAAUGCUUGAUCAGGAAAAAUUCUUCUGUGGACUUUUUAGUUCCAAAAUUGCAAACUCACCUGUCAAUGGGUGGAACAGACUCAUGUUUCCAUAACUUGAAACCGUUAUGAAACAUAAACAGAGCAUCUCCCUCCUCUUAAAUUAUUCCUUUUGCCUCAGUGUGACCUAAAAUAGAGCUAUGGUUAGUGCUCUAUUGGUGUUCCCCUACAUAAGUAGUCAAAAAUUUUGUCAACAUUCAGUUCAGGUUUGCAGAAGUAGAGGUGCUUAUGCAGUGCCAUUCAUAAGCAGAACAUGUGCAUCACAUGUCAUGUAUGGAUGAGCCAUGCACAUUGGUCACAUUCUGUCUUGAUCUAGUUGUCAAAUAUUUCCACUCAGCAAAAGGAUCACGUAGCACAAUAAUAUGCAACGAUCUCAACCACUAUGUAAACACAGAUCCUACAUAUUGCUUGUGUAGUGUAAAUCUACAUGACUGUCAUUAAGUUGUGGUUGCACUACACCUAUCUUUCUGCUAAAUACCAACAUUGUACAACCAACUGCAUAUCUGUGAACCUGCCUGCUGUUUUCACAAUGCCAGUGAAUCAAGUGGUACCCUGAGAGCAGCAAUGAAUAGUUUAUACACCAUCCAAUAAUGUACAAUUGCAUGUGAAAUAGCUGCAUUACCGAACUCCAUUUCUGAAACUGUGAACUGAAUAUAAACCUUAAGCAGUGGCCAAAAGUAUGCACAACCACAUACAUAAGGGAACCUACCUGUGUGUGAAGUAUCAACAAAAUGUCAAUCUUUUUUCUUUGGCUGGGGCUGGAACUGUCCAUGCCUUUUGAAAAUAAAACAAACAUUUCACUCUUCUGCAUUCCAUUUCAAACAAGCAAUCUGUCUGUUUCAGAGUCUUUUGCAAUCAAGAGAACAGUUUACAGCAAUCAAUAAUGUAACUUUCCUCCACCAUUCUUUCUUUUUCAGCAGUAUCAUUAUCGUUUCCUCUUUUAAGUGAAGGAAAUGAAUGUGAAAUCAGCACACACCAUUCCCCCAUUUCCAAACUCAUCUCUGUUUCUGGUUAAGGGCUUGCGUAGUAUGAUGAGUUCAUUAGUUUGCUGGGGUGCGUCUUCUCACUUGCAUUAAAGCACAAGAGGUCUUUUUGAGUUAACGAUAAUUAGAUGAGGUCAUUAAAUCUAGAAUGAGAUCACUACCGGCAGAAUUAGCCUCACAUUGUACAACAUAAGGUCAAAUCAGCCAUAACUAUUACUCAUACCAGUUGUCUCACCACUUUCAUAUCUUCCAUUACAGUGGUGGAUGAUCCACACUUUAAUUUGAACAAGAUGCUCUGGAUGCUGUCAUGGUCCAAAUGAUGGGUGAGAUAAAGAUGAAGACUACUUUUGCCUACUUAACUUUUCAAGGUGUUAAAAAUUGGGAGACUGAAGGAAAAUGUCAUUACAGAAGAGAAUUCCAGUUUGGUGGCAUUUUCUUUUGAAUGCAACAUAAAAAGGAAUCCUUGCUGGUUGCAGAAUCAGAGGUGUCCAGAGAACUGAAUUAGAAAAUUAAGAGAACUGUGACUGCUGAGUUUGGAUUCGCUCGUUGAUUUAGAGAGCUGUGUUUGGGCAGAGAGAUUUCCAUUAAAAAGUAAACUAAAAUGAAUCAAAAGACAUGCACAUACACAUAGCCCAUUUUACAGUUGUAUCAAGAAGCAUGAAUAAUAUUGAAAAUGUAAUGAGGAUUGCAUUUACAAGAGGCAUCUAGUGUUUUUUAACUGCUUUAAGUCUGGACCACCCCUUCUUUCAGAAUUGCCAAAGGAAAUCCCAAGAUUGUCAGACAUAUGAGAAUAGUCACCAUGUGAAGAUAACCAGAGACAGGGAGAAGAAACACUCAAUGCUGAAUUAUGGAGAGACACGCUGUCACCUUCUGUUUCUCUCAGCUUCCCAAGACAACAUUGCAGCAGAAAAGAUGUUCCCACCAUUUCUAAAGUGAGAAUUAUGAAAAUCACUACCUUCUAUAAGCUUCUGGUUGUUGACCACUGCAGAAGUAAUACAAAAGAGGACCAGAUCUCCUUUCAAUAGUACUUUGCAUAGAUCUACAGAAAUGAAGAAAUCUGAGGAAACCCCAUGAGUGAUUGCUUGCCUGCAUCUCAAGAGAAAAAACAAGGUAAAUCUGGCACUUAGAGAUGCAAAGGGAAAAUCAGUUCAAGCAAGAACCAGAAGGUCAACUGCCCAGUAAGUCUCUGUGAUCUGAGACCUGGAGGUUACCAUAUGAAGGCGUUGAAACCACAACAACGUUGGUGGAGAUUUCUAAGCUAUGAUAUUUUGCAGGAGCAGAUUUCAUUUAAAAUGUCAGUUCCUGAUGGUCAUGUCCAAUGUCCUAUAACAACCAGUACAACCCUGAUUAUUAUUAUUUUAAAUGUAGGGUAGAGUCCAUGUAACUAAGUAUAUCAACCCAAGGUUACAUUCAGUGGAACAAAAGGGAGGGGGGGAAGAGUUAAUUUCUUCUAGCCAUCUGCCCAAAUCUACUCUUUAAAAAAAAUUAUUAAAGUUUUCAUAAAAUAUACAGCAAAAGAGUGAGAACAAGUUUCUUAAAGAAAAUAAGAAAGGUGAGAAAGAUAGUGGUAGAAAGAACCCUCC